CUGGGCCUCUGAUGGGACGGCAGAGAGCUGGGAGGGAGGAGCAGAGCAAUCAGGCAGCAAAGAGAAUAUCUCAGGGAAGCUCAGGUUUUUCCAGGGCUGAAGAUUGAGGAGACUCCAGCCAUGCCAAGCUGCUGUCCUUCUGCAGCAACUCCUAGGAGGAUAAACCACAUCAGUGAGUUACUCCCAGCUGCUGUGGGAUUUGUUCCUCGGGGUAUCCAAAGACCCACUCCUACACUUUGCAAGGCUUGGGGAAGCACAGCUCUGGGACAACACCCCUGCAGAGAGGUCUACAACAUGAAUGAGGAGUCCAAGGGUUGGGACCAAAGCCAGGAGACUGCAUCAACCCUCAGCUCCCCGGUGACUGCAGAGAGAGCUGGGCUGCUCCAUGACUUGUUUCCUCUGCAGAGAACUUUGGUUUGCUCGUGGCACUUUCAGAUGAGCAAGUGGUGUCUUAUUCACAGAGGCCCCAGGGAGAGUCACGGUCUCUCUUCCCUGCCAGACACAGGGUGGGGGACUUUAUGGUGGGCUAUGUGUUAAGUUUUUCCAAAAUCCUGAUAGUCAUCUGGAGAAACAGGCCAAAGCCCUGCUCAAACUGCAGCCUGGAGACCUUGUGGCCCAGAACACAGACUGCUGAGAGUGAGGGUGUCCAGCAGCCACCUGGAAUUCCAUUUUGGUGACCGUAUCCUAUCACUCCCAGCAUCGAAAUAUUACAGGCAGCGGGCUGGAUUUGUUUACAAACAGUGGAUUGAGACCAGCAUCAAUCAGAAAAGAAACCCAACCCAGCCAGCUGGUGACCAGCUCUUAGAAGUUUACAUCUCUUAGAGGGGAAGCCUGAGCAGCCCAAGCUGGAGGUGACCUCUUGUUCCAUCUGACCAGGAGAGUGGUGUGGUACCACCCCAGCAGAGCCUGUGUGCAGCACCUCAAAUUCCAACAACCGUUUUACAAUGAGCAGGUUGUUUAUUUUCUGUAUUUAAACACUUCUCUUUUACCUGAAAAAUUACCUUUUCAAUUAAAAAAUAGAUUCUUGGUCAGUGCUUUUCACAUCUUUUGAAAUUCUCCUGGGGUUUUUCUCAGGAGGGAAAAAAAAAAAUAAAUUAAAGCGUUUUCCAUAAUGUUGGGGUUUUCCCUCUUUUCCUCCGCUCUGUUAAAUUCUCCUUUUCCUCCUCUCAGCAAAAUACUGGAAAAUAAAUCAUGUCCCCGUGUGGGAGCUUUAACAAAA